rnacentral:rRNA from 1 species
AGUAUAAAUAAUUCUACUUUGAAACUGCGAAUGGCUCAUUAUAUCAGUUAUAGUUUAUUAAAAAAAAUGUACUACUUGGAUAACCGUAGUAAUUCUAGGGCUAAUACAUGAGUAAAUCCUCGACUUUGAAAAGGGGUGUUUAUUAAUAUGAAAACCAUAUGCUUCGGCAUGAUAGGGAGUAAUAAUAACCUUUCAUAUCGUAUGUUGAAAUAACGAUAGUUCUUUCAAGUUUCUGCCCUAUCAGCUUUCGAUGGUAGUGUAUUGGACUACCAUGGCAGUAACGGGUAACGAAGAA